UACGUAGGUCCCGAGCGUUGUCCGGAUUUAUUGGGCGUAAAGCGAGCGCAGGUGGUUUAUUAAGUCUGGUGUAAAAGGCAGUGGCUCAACCAUUGUAUGCAUUGGAAACUGGUAGACUUGAGUGCAGGAGAGGAGAGUGGAAUUCCAUGUGUAGCGGUGAAAUGCGUAGAUAUAUGGAGGAACACCAGUGGCGAAAGCGGCUCUCAGGUCUGUAACUGACGCUGAGGUUCGAAAGCGUGGGUAGCAAACAGG
rnacentral:rRNA from 1 species